UGGGGAAUAUUGCGCAAUGGACGAAAGUCUGACGCAGCGACGCCGCGUGUAGGAUGAAGCUCUUCGGGGUGUAAACUACUGUUGCUCGGGACGAACCUCCCCAUUCGUGGGGACUGACGGUACCGAGUGAGGAAGCACCGGCUAACUCUGUGCCAGCAGCCGCGGUAAUACAGAGGGUGCGAGCGUUGUCCGGAAUCACUGGGCGUAAAGGGCGCGUAGGUGGCUGGGUAAGCGUGUGGUGAAAGCUCGGGGCUCAACCCCGAGUCGGCCAUGCGAACUGCUCGGCUUGAGCAUGGUAGAGGCAGGUGGAAUUCCGGGUGUAGCGGUGGAAUGCGUAGAUAUCCGGAAGAACACCGGUGGCGAAGGCGGCCUGCUGGGCCAUUGCUGACACUGAGGCGCG
rnacentral:rRNA from 1 species